rnacentral:misc_RNA from 1 species
AAGUCGUAACAAGGUUUCCGUAGGUGAACCUGCGGAAGGAUCAUUAACACGUAUCCAACGUAAAAAACCCCGAACAGAAGUUACAGUUACGAUUGAGCGGAGAUAGCUGCAUGGCAUCCCGAAGCAGUCAGUGUCUGAAAGUGUCAUUGAUUGUCUAAGGAUCUCGCCUCAACGAUUGCCAGAGGUCGCUCACCGACCGGCAGACAUGCAACCGGGUCCCCACGCCCCUUUACAACCCCAUUACCUCUGUGAGUCGCGGGAAACUAGCGGCUAAAAAACCUCGAACAACUGUUAACAAUGGAUAUCUUGGUUCUC